AGGUUUUACACAAAAAGAAAGUCUGUAAUUUGAAAGGUUGGCUGUAGUUAAUGUCCAAAGAAUGAAGAUGAUAUUUGUUAUUAUUUCCUGUCAUCCUCUGUUGUCAGCAGAUAAUUCAAAGUACAAAAAGAACCCAAAUUAACAAGUAAAAUCACAGGAAAAACUGAAAAAUAUUUGAAUAUUGAAUGGAAAAAUAAUGCUAAUGUCUUCUGAAAUUUUUUGUCCUCCAUUAAAAACUCAGAUGCACUCUGUGACUUCUGUCAGUUAUUGAAACCCAAGAGUUAUCAGAAAAAGUGUCACAUUUUCCAUUUUCCUGUACUGGUCUGCUGAGAUAGAACAGGCACACAGGUAACUUUCUCAAACUAGUUAUGGCUGCAGAGAUGAUCAUCAUCAUCCACCCUGUUCUUAGCUAAUUAAAUUUUUCUAGUCAUUACUGUUUAUCAUUGGAACCCUUCAGAAAGCUCUGAAAUCAUUAAGCCUUUCCUUUUCCUUCAAUUGGUUUUGCUUCUGGUCCUGGUAGUCAGAUGCUAACAUUCAUUUGAAACAUUAGGGAAGAUGAUUCCUACUGAAAGAUUUGCUAAUCUACAUAGCUAUUAGACAAUUUAUGAGCUUUGCUCCUGAGACUGCUGGCAUCUUUUUGUGGAGACAUUGUGUACAGUAUUUAUGUUCUGAAACCAUGGAAUCUGAAGAUGAACUGUGCCUGCCAAUAUGAAUACAGGAAAGAUUUUCUGUCCUUUCACAGUCUCUGGUGGACUAAGUUAUUUUUAUUUCAUCUUGGCAGAACAUAUUGAAGUAUAUCUCUUAAUUGUGCAUAUCUGGAGCAAAGUCUUCAUUCUCAAAGAGAAGCAAUUUUUGUCAACUUAAGCAUAAGAAAUACAGAUUUCUAAACUUCUACUAAAAACAUGUCACUGUUUCAAAGGGUUUUUUUUCUUAUAUAAAUCUUUUUAAAAGGCUGUGUUGUGUAGUUCUGGAAAGACAUAAAUGCCUCCUUUCCUAGAAUAAUUGAGUUGAUUUUGAAACUUAGUAUGCUUUACCAGAGAAGAGCAAGAUUUGUUGAAAAUGCAAUUGCAGACAUAUUUCAAAUAUGUAAAUCAGAAGGAAGGUUUAUUGGAAGACGAUCACACCCAUGCUGUAAUGGUAUAGGUCAUUAUUCGCAUAUUAAAAUGAUAAAUAUGAAAGAAAAAGAUGUGCAGUCGAUCAUCUGUAUGUGCCCUAAGAACUUUUCAAGCUGCUAUGUGGAAACAAAGAGAACUUUCUAAAAUCUUUUCACAACAUUUGGAUGUACAAGGAAAAUAGAAAUGCUUCAUUACCCUGAUAAGAGUAGAAUUAAUUAUGAAAAUGAUGUUUCUUGUUUAUUUCUGUGGCUGCUGUACUUUAUUGAUUUAAUGGAGGAAUAGUUUCUUGUUGUACAGUAUUAUUAUACAGUGUGAGAAUAGCUGUUUCUAUCUUGUUUGGCGCUGUUGUUGCCAGGCUGGAUGCAUCAGCUCAUGAUGGAUGGCUCACUCAGAGGAAAGCAGUGGAUACUUCUGUUCCAUGCCCCUGCCCUUCACACUGUGUCACCACCAGCAAGGCAGAGGUGCAGACUGCUGAGCUGCUCAUCUGUGACUCAGCAUUUGGGUGGGCUUGCUUUCUUUACUUCUGCACAGCACACAGAACAACCUGUGCAGAUAUUUUGUAUCAUGGUUUACUGUAUUCACUUUUAACUCCACAUUCAUUGCUCAGCUAAUAAUUCUCUGUAUAUCUUCCUGAACCUUAUAACAAUCCUGUACAACCAGUGGCAAAAUUCAGUGAAAAGGUCUUGCCAAUGCAGCUUCUUUCUUUUUCAUUUAUUUUUUUCACUUUUUUUUCUCUUCUUCCCAGAAGCAUAUAAUGUUUCAUAUACCAAUUUUAGCUGAAAAGAUAAUCAAGGACACUGUCAUUCAAAUGAAAUGCUGCUAUUUGCUAAUAAUACAGGAAUUUAGUGUGGCAUUCUCUGAAUAUUUAAAACUGAUAGGUUUCUUUUUAUUAUUCUGUAUGGUAUUUUGAGUAUUUAAUGCCUUUUUAAUAUCUGGUUUAGAAUUCAUGAUGUAAAGAUACAAACAACUGACAGGAAUGUUGUAUUCCAUUGAAUUCCUGCUGUUAAGCAAAGUAGCUUUCUGAUGGAGAAUUUAAUCCUGCAGAUCUUACUCAGGUUUCAUACACUAAAAAUCCCUGCUGACAUCAAGGACUGAAAAGGGAAGAUGAAAUUCAGAAUGUGAUCUGUAUUCAGUUUUAUAAUUUAAUUAAAUUCAAACAGAACACUUAGCUGUGAAGGACUGGACUGUAUUAUUCCAGCCCAUGUCCUGCUUAGCAUCAGUGUGAAAUAACUUUGAUCCAGGAAGAGUACUUUAGAUACAGUACCAUAUCAAGAUUUUACUUUUCAUGUCAUCAUAACCAAUUUUCCCACAUGUAGGAAAAAUAUUUAGCUGAAGGUACUUGCUUGGCACUGCUGCUGGCUCAAAUCUCAACUUGGCAAUCCAGUUCAUCUGUUCAUGGUAGUCACCACUUUAUUUUCAUGACAACUAUCAAAUUUCUGAAGGAGGCACAUUACUUUUUGUAUCACUGAACUUGAUUGCAGAUCUAAGGCAAAAGUGGGUUGCCCAUUAGGCUGUGAAGCCAUGUGGGGUACACGCUUUAGGGAACCUUGUGCUCAUUUGAAAGAGCUGUGGGCAUCCCAAUAAUGCUGCAUAGUCCUUAAAAGCUGAAAUAGCACCUACAGAGCUUAAAAGAAAAUUGUUGCACUGAAGUCAAAAUACUUACUAAAGGCAGCAGGUAUUUAUUUCAAUCUGUGCCUUAUAAUGGAAAAUUAGAAAAACAGUGAAGCUGCAUGAUUUGGCUAAGGUCACUCAACAGGUCAAAGUGAUGUAAUAAAGGGAAACUGGCAGAGCAGCAGGUGAGGGGAAAAAGCUGCAUCUGAAAAUGAAGCACGGGAUACAUUCUGAGCUGGGAUUUGUUUUGAGAACUGAACUCCCUUGUCCACAGUGCCGUUGUGCUGUCAUCACUUGGUGCCUGCUGGACUUUAGCAGGCAAUUGGAUGAAGCCACAGCAGAAUGUGUGUGUAUAGAGACCCUACAUGUACCAGAUUUACACUGAAGAAGCCUGUUAUUAUUAUCUUUAUCAAUUUCCUUUAUAACCCCUAUUUUUCUAUAGCUGUAUCACCUGUUGCCAUGGUAAGUUUCUCAUGCUGUUUGUCUUUGAUAAACAAGAAGGACAUCUCGAAACACUGAUAAGGGCUUGAGACACUUGGUAAUACCCAAUGUCCUCCCCAUAGCACUGAGCACAUUGGACUGGAUCCUAAAAACCUACAUAUUUUUAAAGUUUGUCAUGCUGACAGUUUUAGAAAUAACAGAAGUUUUAUUUUAUACCAGUUUAGGGAUAAUUUUAGAUUUGGAGUAGUUCGUUUGGGUUUUUCUACUUUGAAGUCUGCUUAGCUAAAGUAAUGGAAAUAAGGCACCUGAUGUUCUAAUACAUAGUCAACCAAAAAUAACCCUAAGAAUAUAUUUAAGGAUCUAGAAAGCAAACAGUUUUUUGGUAUAAUAACACUUUAAACCAGAUUCUUCAUCUGGACUUACUUCAAUGAAUCAUUCUUAUUCAUAGCUCUCACAGAUAGAGUACAGAACAAGCUAUAAUUUGCCAUGCCUCCAUUUUUCUUGUAAAUAUACUUUUGGCAAGGCUGGCCAUAUUAUCUACCAUUAAGAUGUUCUGUAAAUACCACUGUGUCCUCUUCAAGAUGAUGAAUUUUCAAGAUGGUAAAUUUUCCAAGGUGGGUAUGUGCUCAACCCAAGGAUUUUGGAGGAUUUUGGUCAAAAUGCUAAACAGUUCAGAAAAAUAAUAUUUUUUUCUGUCAGACCUAGAAAAAAAUGUUUGGGGUGCAUGGUGAAGAGGUCAGGAGAAAUAUGUGUAACAAGCAGAAGCUCUGUAUGUAUUAGCAAAUUAGACACCAGAAUGAUCCUAUCUCAGAUUUAUUUUCCCAGUGCUCAUAUUUUUAAUUGCAGUCUUGCCUAAAAUACAAGUUGAUAUCUGUGGAAAUGUAUAAGGGCUGAGUGCCUAAAUUGGCUCUUAGCCACAGAACCACUGGCAGAUAUUCCCAGUGAUUUGGAGAGUGUUUAAUGGAAAACAGCUGAGUUUGGCUAAAACAGAGGAAUGGAUUAUAUUGUCUUUCAGCAUCUCUAUCAGCAAUUUUUUGUGAGGGUGGACAAAUUGCUCAAAGUAAAAGCCUGCUAUUGUUGUGGGUUUUGUAGUCUUGAAUUCUUUCAAAGACUUUUUGGAUCUGAUUUUCACCAGUUACAAGUGUCAUCAUCAGCUGUGCCUGACUGUAAAGUGCUGGUUGAGGUUAGGUGCAAGCCUUGGCUUUUGCAGACAAUGUAACAGUGUUGAAUAUUUUAUUUUAACUCAGGAACAUAAUAAACAAUUAGUUACAUUUAUGAGGUACUAUUACCACAAAUGACACAGAAAGCCAACUGCAAAAGUCAUAAUUUUUUCAAGAAAAAUUAAAGUUUUGAACUGUUCAGACAUUUAAUAAAGGAAAAAACACACUGAAUAAUGAGGAUAAAACAAAUAUUGAAAAGCUCUUCUUUCAGUGAUCUUUCUUAGGAAUGAAAUCAAGCAGAAUAAAAAAAAAAAAACUCAGCCAUUUUAAACUCAAUGGUUGAAACAAAAAAAAAAAACAACAAUCUAACAAAAUUUGACUCAGACACUGACUACAUCAAAUCUAUACAUGACAAGACCUGAAUUUGGGUUUCACUGACCUGUAACUGAUAGUUAACUAACUUCACAGUGCUUGGCUUACUUUAACUGUUCAUUUUGUAAGCCUGAUGUUUAUAUCCACCUAAUACUUUUCAUCAAAGAAAAAUGUUUCCAAGUUUAUGAAAAGGUAUACACAAUUUGCAAGUUGAGGUUUCCUAUAUCAUAGACUUCCUUGGGAUCUAAGGAAUUUCCCUGAGUGACCCAAAAAUUAUUUUCUGAUUCUUUCAUGAAAAUCUGUUUGUUUUGGAUAAUAUCAUGAGACACCCACAAAGUUCUUGUUUGCCGACUCAAUAAACUUGGUAGAAGCUGUAGAAAGAUGUCUACAUUCCCCUACUCGGCUGAUCAGAAUUUUUUCCUUCUAUGUGAAAUUACCUUGGUGUAACACUUGGGGAAAUACAGAGCACAUUCAUUACCUAGCUUCAAAUAACUACUUUUGCUGCUACAGGUAACUAAAGUACCUACACAUUCCAUGUGAUCUUUGCAUACAGGAAAUAAUUCGGAGUACCUAAGCCAGAUGCUCUAAAACACUCUCUGGAUGUUGACUCGCUGAAGAAAGAAACUAAUGUGUUUUAAAAAUUCCUCCCUCUCUGGCCUAAAUCUUUAAAUUUUCUGACAAUUCAUUUAUUCUAAUAAGAACUUAUUUAAUUAGUCUUUCAUAGGCCUGAUUUUGUUAAUAUUAUCAAGAAAUGAAACGCAACUGCAACUGAACUUGUUUUUACAAGUUCCCAUUCUCAUCCAUACCAGCACUGAGAAUUAAUUUACUCUGGAAGAAUAUAAUGACUCUGCUUUAGUAUCUACAUAAUGAGUGUUGAUGUUCAUAAAAUUCACCCCCACAAACCUCCUUUUUAUAUUACAUUGCCAAAAGCACACUCAUACUACUGUGCAGGGACUAUGAGCCUUCAUCUCAAGUAAGUGAUUGCAGGUACAGAAAAGGUAUUGAGGCAGCACCUGAAAUAUUGUAGCAGUAUAAAAAUUAAGAAUUUAGAUGAGGAAUCUAAAGAACUAUGAAAAAAGAAAAAAAAAAAAAAAAAAAACCAACCAAAGAAGCAAAUACAAGUGUUAAGUUUGUUCCUUUGCCUCUUUUUUGCUCUGUUGUUCAAACUCAUCAUUUUAGAGAUCCUAAGCAGGUCAGGCAGUCCCAUUGUACGUGUGCUUUGCAGGGAACAGGAAUGUGUUAGAGCUGUAUAGCAAAUUCCAUUGUGUUUUGUAACUGCAUUAUCUCAUAGCAUGCAGAAUUUGGAAGGUAAUGUCUUCCAAGAGUCUUCUGUCACCAGAACUAUAACCCUGUGUCACAGAGAUGCUAUGUGAAGCUACUUAGGUCAUUUAAGCAAAAAUAUUAAUGUGACAACUAAUUUUAUGUUCUUUAUUGAAUAUGUCUACCCAACUUUAUCUUGAUUUUCAGAUGUUUGGAGCCUUAGGGAAGUACUGUACCUUUUGAUUGGUGUUCAGGGAAUUGAGAGUGCUCAACAUCAUUUGCAAUAAAUCACUUGCUUCUGAAGGACAGCCUCAGGUUGGAACUCUCCACAGCCCUGAGUUCUGGACCUACCAUUACUACCUUCUCUAGGAUAUGCCACCACUCAGAUUUAUAAUGAUCUUCCAGUCUAUAAGAGAAAGAGCUAAAAGAAUGUGGCCAGAAGCUACUCAAGCCUAGCACUGCUCUAGACUGGAGAAAAAAACUCCGUGGAUUUUUCAAGAUUCUGUCUCCAGGCUAGAGCUGGAAAUAAACCCUAGGUGACAGUAUUCACACUCCAGUUUUAUGUAGGUUGUGAGUGAGAUAAAGAAAUAUGCAGUUUUCUUAAGGGUUUAUUAAGAUUGUAUUUAAGUGUGUUACCACUGUAAAUAGUAAUCUAAAGCUCUUGGAAAUAUUUUUUUAUUAUUAUUCUUUUUGCUUUGCAUAUAGAAAAUGGAAGAAGAAGGGGGAAACUGCACUACAUCACAGAAUACUAUUCAUCAGAACCAAAAUACUUUUACUUAGAGCCCAAACUCUUAACCAUUAUACCACAUUUCCUAAAAUGGUUUACAAGGGGGACUUGGAAGUAGGUGAUCAUAAUUGCCUAAAGGAAAUAACCUAGUAUCCUUGGAAACUUGAGAGUAGUAAUUCCUUUAAUUGCAGUAGUAACUGCAGUUUUUAAUAAGUGAUAAAAUAUUUCAGAAGGCUGGAAAGCUCUACUUAAUUACUUAAUAUUCCUAGAAGAUUAACAAAAGUCUAUUGACGAAGAAAGGGGAAGUCUGAUUUUUCCCCCUCCUGAACAAGAUAGAAAUUUGUAGCAAAAUACCAAGAUUCAUCUAAUUCCAUUACUUCCUUGCAUUUUCUGAUUUUUUUUUUCCAGCUGCAUAUAUGUGUGUGUGUGUAUAUACACACAUAUAUAUAUACACACACACACACAUAUAUAUAUGUACACACAUAUAUAUAUAUACUCGGUUACUCAGUUCAGGUCCAAAGGACUAUUUAAACACUUUUCAGUUAUGUGUCAAAAAACCCAAAUGAGAUUAAAUAUCCUCUACUGUUUAGAAAAUGUUCUUAAAUGCCUGGUAAAGACUAUGUGGCUGUCUUUCAGGUAACUGAGAUUGGGCAAAAUUCAAAACAUUUAAGGAGCAAAGUUUUCAAUUUCAGUUGUGGGUGUUGCUUUCAUUUAAAGCUGCAGAUUGUGUAUAUCAUGUUGUAUCAUUAAUUAAGUUGUGCAGAGCUGAGAAGAACAAGGCAUGAGGCAUAUGCUAGUCCUUGGAGUUUGAGGUAGCCCAAUGCUCUGUUGUCAAGCAAGAAGUUGAAAAGUGGGUGUAGAGAAGCCCAGCCCAAUGCACAAGAGCUCUGCUGUGAGCAGACCAUUCAAGGCUUCACACUGAGCUUCUCAUGCACCUCAUUCACCUUGUGGAAAUUGGCCCAUGGAAUUUCCCAAAAGUGAAUUUUCUGUACUUCUGUAAUUUCUGCUGAUUCUUUCCUCUGAAGGCUUUGUUUUUAAAUUGGUUGUUUAGUAAAGAAAUAGGAUUUACUUAGGAGAAGGCACUUCCAUUGAUAACUCUGAACAUUUUUAAAAGAGAGAUUAGACACUACUUUCCGUAUUUGUGCACUUUUUUUUUUAGAAGUACUUACAGCCUGCAGCUUUCACUAGUCUCAGGUUCAGGUUCUCAAAAAGCUGGAGUCAUAACUGGUAUAAAAGAUAUAAAAAUAUCCUGACCCAAACCAGGAUAUACUUUUUUGUACUUCUUGUCUUGCAUCUUUAUACAGAUACUGUUGAAAUUAAUAUGUUAAGAGAUUUUUGAGACAGGAAGCUAGUACUAAUGAAAUCUCAAGAAGUACUGAAAAUGCAUAUAUCACAUGAAUGUUUCGCUAUUAGCUGGAAUUGCAGCUGAAGUGAGCCUCCUUUAUUUUUUCUAAGCAUCCAUAAUGGCUGGGUUAUGUUGCUGUAGUCAUGCACUAUAAUGAUGAUCUACAAAACAGGUAAGUAAAUGAGGAGGUAAAUUGUGUAAGUAUGGGCAUUUUUCUCAGGAUAGGUAGAAUUAAAUGUUGGAGAAUAUUCAGCCUCAAGCUAAUAGACAUAAGACACUAUGGGCCAUACCAGCAAUAAUGAAAGUUCUCAGUCACCCCCAGUCCUUACUGGCGAGUUCUGUAGGUACAUCUGUAACCCCUCUGCAGCAUCUAAGUUUGGGUGUCUAAUCUCUCCUUAAAACACUGAUACAGAGAUAAAUGUUUAGCUAGGGCUGAAUCUAGCCUUUAGGCUGUGUCCUGAACUCUCUUUUCUCUCAAAGUCAAAUAUUAUUUUUAGCUUUUAUUGACCUGACCAUCUGACUCCACUCAGCAUUUGUUUCUGGUCAAAUGCACUGCUCCCCGUCUAGGGCUAAGCUGACUUACCAAAGAAGUUGUGUUCUUCAGGCAUGAAAUGGGUUUUUAUUACUGAGGUCCACAGUGCAGAUCAUUGGAAGUUAUGUAAUAAUAUGAAGGGACAUAUAAUUGAAAGGCUGUCAGAAGAUAGAAGGGUAUCUAGCUUCCCAGAGCAUUCACAUUGCAGCUCAUGAAGCUGGCUGACAUUGAAGGAGCGAUUCCGUGCUCAGUGCUGGCCCCUCUGGUAGCAGCUCUGCUCCUCCUCUCUGCUGCCUGUUGAAAUAUCACAGUCUGCAGCAGAGAAUUUAAUACAGGAGUUUUCCAUUAAAGACAUUAGGUGCUGCAUUUCACAGUUACUUCUAGCUCAGCUCACCUGCUGGGGACACAGUGCUUUGUCAUUGAAUUGGCAGGCCUGCCCUCAUCCUGUUCUUCCCCCUGGAGCAGCGAGAAGUAGCGUGUGAGUACAUCCUGAGCAAUGCACAACAAGUGAGUAACUGCAAUACAGGCAUAUAUUAUUCUUGGAUUUGUUUUAAAUGUCAAGCAAUAAUACAUGGGAAGUAAAAAAAGUAAGUCUUUAACUAUCCUGACAUUCUCCUAAAUGUAAAAAACUAUAAGAGAUGCCUAUAUUUACUACAAAUAAUAAAACUGGAACUUACACUAAUCAAAUUCAAAUCAGUUCAACUGCAUAAUUUUCAGUGAAUAGGUGCUUAUAAAACACAGAAUGAACUCCACAAGGGAAGGUUCAUUGCUUCCUAAUCAAAAGCAGUCAGCUUUAAACACCAGCCAGUCAGGUGAUAGGUUUGUCAUUUCUCAGCUGUGCUCUUGGAGGGAAUUUGCCAAGAAGGCUUGACAGCCUUUAAACUUCACAGAGCAUUUUUUGCCUGGUUUUGAACAUCAUGUUGAGCUACAAAAAACUCCUGGGAGACUGGGAGGAGAGGUAGAAUAACAGCAGUUCUAUUAAAAUAUAUUUGCUGCAAUGAAUGCCAAGCAGAGUUUAUGGUGUGAAAAAAUAAGUAAUUCCUGAAAAGAAAUGUUGACCCCCCUCAGGUCUGAUUCUUUCUUGUCUAAUGAUGUCCAGCUACUCUGGGGGACUAAGGAGUGUCAGUGAUUAAUUGCCUGGAUGUCAGAGAAAUAAAGGCUCAUAAUGCAUCAUUAAAAGCUAAAAAUCAGGGUGUCUGAACUAUCAUGGGGAACUUAAAAUGAAUGUAUUUACUGCUAUGUACAAUUACCGGUCCAAGUCAGAAAUAAUUUGCUUUCAUAAUUUAGAACAUGAAAAUGUAUUUACAGUAGUUUUACAUUGCUUUCUAGAGGCUUAGUACAAAAGGGAGAGACAAAAAUUAAUAUGCACCAAGGCAGUUAAAAAGAAACCUGCCUUUGAAACCUGUUCUUUCAUUUUAAUCAGCAUGAGCUCUGCUAAAUAGUGGAAUGAAUUAUGGGUAGGAGGUUAGCAACUAGGUUACUGCGGGCAAAUCACUCUUGGGGGAAUAAGUUUGCAGUCUGAGCCACAGAGUCUGAGGUGUGCAUGACUUGGGGUGAACAGGUCUUCUCUGAUACAACAUCUAUUGCAAGGUGGCCAACCUAAAGUCUCUCAACCAAAUUCCCCAACAUAAGGGUCUGUUCUCCCUGCCAAUGGCAAUUGUUAGACUGUGCUAAAAAAAUUUUUCAGUGUCUUCUAUUUCUAUUUUCCAAUGUCUUUCUAAUGUCAUUCUAGUGUUUUCUAUUUCACAUCCUCAACUUUGGGAUCUCAUACAUUUUUUAGUAAUUUUUGGUAUUGGUUGAAGUCCCAUUAAGCUUCUUAAAUUCUUAAAUGGCUUCUUGGAAGGAUUUUGUUGGAUAUUUUUUUCUUGUAAUUUAGGUUAUAAAAGUAGCACCAUAAACAUUAAUUGAAGUGCCAUUAAGCAGUAGGGCUGUUUGUUUUGGGUUGAUAGAGGACAUAAAACUUCAUACCCUGUGGUGGAAAACAAUUAGAUCUGAUGAUGAACAUGCUAUUAAAUAUACCAUUACCAAACUUCUAUCAGUUUAACUUUAGAAAAUAGCAACCAGCUGUAGUCAAAGCAUACACAAAGGAUAGAAAGUAAUAUUUUAACUGUCAUGUCAUAGCCUGUUAUAAAUAUUGUCAUUUCUAAUGUUUUAUGCUAAUGACAGUGACUAAUAGUAGUCAUUACCUCUGUUCAUUCUCAUAAAAAUUUCCUCUAGAGAAUAUGAUCACAGCUAGAGUGCUGUUUAAAAUUAAAUUUUGUUUUUCUAAAAUAGAUAACAUAAAAAUAUUUAAAUACUGACAGGUUUGUUAACUAUUUUAUUUUGUAAUAGCAUGUGUUCACCAACUACAGCUUUUGUUAAUUGUGCCAUAAGUUGAACAGACAUCCCUUUUAGAAACACUUCUGGCAUGCUAGUGUCACAUCUCUGGUGUCUGAACAAUGGAAUAAAAGGUGAAUCUCACAGAAGCCAUAAAAAAAGUCUGAUGCUACCCCUGUAGAGGCUUAAUAUUAAGAACAUUGAAUUUUCUCAUCCAUUUCUUAUUUCAGUUAUGAAUUCUGCUUACUUGACAGGUACAGAGUACUUCAUUAUGUGCACGAACAGAAAUGCUUAAAUGGAUGAAGCAGCUAUUUACGUCUGAUAGGAGCUAAGUGGGACAUUAAAUUAAUGCCAAACAAGUUAGUGAGACUGUAAUCAAGAAAAAAAAAUCUAAUGCACAGUAAUUUGAAACACAGCAUUUGGAAAGGUCAGAAUGGUACAUUACAUCCUUAUUAUCCAAAAGAACAGAUGAGUUUAAUAUCCUGGCAACAUUUUCCUGUGAAGAAGAUAUUAAACAAGAGCUGAAAAUGGUACAAGGUUCUUGCUUCCUUUUCUAUGACAAAGAUUGUAACAAGAUCAUGGAACUACACAGAAUAAAUCCCUUUCUGCUUUAAUGGUC